rnacentral:tRNA from 1 species
UGGCUGAGUGGUAAAGCGCCCCGGCUUCCGAACGGGCGUCCCGGGUUCAAAUCCUGG